rnacentral:tRNA from 1 species
GUGGGUGAAGUGUCAGCGGAAGCACACGACCGUGCCAAGGUCGGAGGACGGGUUCGAGUCCCGUCGCCCACUC